rnacentral:rRNA from 1 species
GACGAACGCUGGCGGCGUGCUUAACACAUGCAAGUCGAACGGAAAGGCCCCUUUGGGGGUACUCGAGUGGCGAACGGGUGAGUAACACGUGAGUAACCUGCCCUUGACUUCGGGAUAACUUCAGGAAACUGGGGCUAAUACCGGAUAGGAAUCCUUGCUGCAUGGUGGGGGUUGGAAAGCUUCGGCGGUUUUGGAUGGACUCGCGGCUUAUCAGCUUGUUGGUGGGGUAGUGGCUUACCAAGGCUUUGACGGGUAGCCGGCCUGAGAGGGCGACCGGCCACAUUGGGACUGAGAUACGGCCCAGACGCCUACGGGAGGCAGCAGUGGGGAAUAUUGCACAAUGGGCGGAAGCCUGAUGCAGCAACGCCGCGGGCGGGAGGACGGCCUUCGGGUUGUAAACCGCUUUCAGCAGGGGCGAAGCUUGUGGUGACGGUACCUGCAGAAGAAGCACCGGCUAACUACGUG